ACACUCGGCCUUUUGCAAAGCUCUGCUGUGGAGCUCGCCUGGCCUGUGUGAGGCCCUGGGUUCCAUCCCCAGCAGACAGGGGCCACACACACACACACACCCCGGGAAGGGGCGGAGAGCUGGGCUGGGGAGGCUCAGAAGCAGAGGAAGAGAAGGACGAGCUGGUUAGUUGCCAGAGAUGUUUUGAAAUUCCCGCAAAAUGCAGCCUUUUGGAAGGAAACUUCCCCUUUGGUGACAUGAUGGAAACGAACCACAGAAGAUCUGAAGCAUUGAAAGAACUUCCCCAGGUUUGAAUUAGACCAGGCCUCAUUCAAAUCAGCACCCCGUCCCACGAAAUUCGGAUCCCUCCACCCCCACUGCAGACGGAAAGGAACAGGAAUCACCCACUCAAGAUGGCACCCGGGCCGCCCUCUGGUUGGUGGGCUCGGGUCACAUGACCCCAAGGAGACCCUUGAAGGUUGACACCAUCUUUUGUGAGGCUCCCAAAGGGCACUCGGAGGUUGGCUGGGCUGCUUGUGGUAGGGAAGGAACAGGAGCCGGCCCAACAUGGGAGGCCAGUGCUGCAUGGGCCCACGUAGGCCCCACAGUAAAUUCCUGAAAAGGCUCAGGGAAAGGAAGAUUUGAAAUGUUGCAAGUUUUGCUCCUUCCUUCUCCAUAACUCUAGAACUUUCUAUUGCCCAAGUGUUUCCUUCUGCAGGUUUUAACAAUGUUUUGCAAUGUAGAAUUGAAAAACCAGUUUAAAAAUACCUUUUAAAGAAAAAAAAAUUGAAACUCUGUAGAAAGCAAAAAGAGUUUGUGUCCAUCUCAUCAUCUGCCUGACACUGCAGUGCAGACUCCGUGACGUCAUCUCCCUACACUCCUACCACAUCACCCCCUCCCACCGGUCUCCUUGCUGUUUGUUGGCCACACUCCCACCUCAGGACCUUUGCACUGGCUUCUCUGUCCUUGGAAAGCAUUUUUGUAGACGCGGGCGGCUUACUCCUUUUCCUCCUGGUCUUCACUCACACACGACCUUCUUGAUGAGCAAGAGUAACUCUCCUGCUUACAAUGGCACCAGUCCCCCCUGGGCUUACCUAUUUUGUCUUUGUUCUGUAGCAUUCCCUCCUUUCUAACUUACGGGGCAAUUGCUUCUUUAUUGCAUUUAUUGCUUCUUGCCCGCCCCCCUCGGGAGGCUGUAAGUCCCACUAGCGACCUUCAGUGGGUGCUCCUGGUCUAAAACAGUGCCCGUCACAGAGCAGAUGUUCAGUACAUUUUUGCUCAAUGAAUUAAAUGAACAAAGAGUGGCUAAUAGUGGCUACUGUUUAUUGAGGACUUAAUUUGUGUCAAGCGCCGUUCUAAGUACAUUCUCCCAGCAACCCUUAAGGAAAUUUUUUUUUAAUAUUUAUUUUUCAGUUGUGUAGUUGGACACAAUACCUUCAUUUUAUUUACUUGUAUGUGGUGCCGAGGAUCAGACCCAGGGCCUCGCAUGUGCUAGGCGAGUGCUCUACCGCUGAGCCACAACCCGGGCCCCUAAGGAAAGUUUAAACAAACCCCUUUUACAAAUGAAGAACCCUGGGCACAGAGAGGCUAAGCAACUUACCUAAGACCAUUCAGUAAGGUGAAUGUCAGUGCCAGGGUUUGAACCCAAGCAGAGUGCCGCCAGAGCCCACGGUAUCAACCAUGAUGCCGUGUUUGCCUCUCGUGAGAUGUAAAGAGGGGGGACCUCACAAGGUGGGCCGGGCUCUGCCCUCAAGAGUGGAUCAAUCCACCCACAGGACUGACGGAUUAACGAGUUAUCUCAAAAGUGGGUCUGCUAUUUAAAAAGCCACUCUGGCUGCGUCUCACGCGCACCCUGUCUCUGGCCGCGUGAGGCCCUGGGCACCUCUGGACUGCCAGCAAGACCGCUACCGCCAGAUGCGGCCCCUCAGCGCGGGCCCAGAACCGCGCGGGCCCAGCCUCCAGGUUGUCAUUCACAGCAGAAAUGGGCCACGCGACCUUCCUCUGUGGAGGCCUCUCUUUACCCUGCAGGGUGGUGACAGGCGGGGUGCGGAUGUGGGUGCCCUGCAGCUCAGGGGCUCCUGGACCUUCCCACCACCCUCGGCAGGGUCUCCAG
rnacentral:lncRNA from 1 species